CCUAAGUUCAUUGACCUCGACUA
rnacentral:snRNA from 1 species